rnacentral:rRNA from 1 species
CGAACGGUAGCACGAGAGAGCUUGCUCUCUUGCCGGCGAGUGGCGGACGGGUGAGUAAUGUAUCGGAACGUGCCCGGUAGCGGGGGAUAACUACUCGAAACAGUGGCUAAUACCGCAUACGCCCUACGGUUGAAAGGGGGGGAUCGUCGAACCUCUCACUAUCGGAGCGGCCGAUAUGGGAUUAGCUAGUUGGUGGGGUAUUGGCUCACCAAGGCAACGGUCCGCUACUGGGUUGAAGAGGAGACCAGCCUAACUGGUGAUGAGACACGGUCCAAACUCCUUACGGAAGGAGCUGGGGGGGAAUUUGGACAAUGGGGCUAACCCUGAUUGCGCCAUCCCCCGUUUUUUGAAAAAGCCUUCGGGUUGGUUAAGUACUUUUGGGCAGAGAAGUAUGGUGAUCCCCUAAUUCCGGUUACUGAUUGACGUUAUCUGCAGAUUUAGGCACCGGCUAACUCCGUGCCAGCAGCCGCGGUAAAUACGUAGGGUGCAAGCGUUAAUCGGAAUUACUGGUCGUAAAGCGUACGCAGGCGGUUCAUAAAGUAAGAUGUGAAAUCCCUGGGCUCAACCUGGGAUCUGCAUUUUUAACUGCCGAGCUAGAGUAUUUUAGAGGGGGGUAGAAUUCCACGUGUAGCAGUGUAAAUGCGUAGAUAUGUGGAGGAAUUACCGAUGGGCGAAGGCCGCCCCCCUGGGAAUAUGACUGACGCUCAGACACGAAAGCGUGGGGAGCAAACAGGAUGAGAUACCCUGGUAGUCCACGCCGUAAACGAUGUCGCUAGCUGUUGGGUGCCCUUAGACCUUGGUAUCGUGCGCUAACCCGUAGAUCAACCGCCCUGUGGGAGUACACCUCGCCUAGUUAAAAUCCUCAAGGUAUUGGAGGAGGGUACCCGCCAUACGGGGGGAUGACUGCGCGGUCAAUUCUCAUUGCAUACGCGCAAUAAUAACCUUACCCACACCUUGAACGUCCAACAAAUGCGUAUAAGAAUUAGAACGAUGCCCGUCAGAGUACCGUACACUGUGCAUGCAUGACUGUCGUCAGCUCUGUUCGGAAUGUCGGUUAUGCAGCUACAGA